rnacentral:rRNA from 1 species
AUGUCGAGUAUGAAAAAUGUUCCACGGAGCGCUCUCGGUGAUAUCACUAAUGGGGUACAAGCUCACUCUAUGCUCCUUGUCGACAAAAAUAGCCAGAUCAAGGCUCAAGGGCGAGCUACCGUGAAGCACAAAGAUGAUAACCUUCCUGCCCUUACAAGUUCAGCCGACCCAACUAGGUCCACCUAUACGUCAUUGUCACAAGAUGAGGCGGUAUUGCCUCAUACCACUACAAUCACAACAUAUGUCAUUCAUGAUAACCAACUACCUAGGAAGCAGCAUGAUAAUGCAGAUGACAUUGAUGGGUUCCGAGACUGCAUCUUGGGCGACUAG